AUUGAACGCUGGCGGCAGGCCUAACACAUGCAAGUCGAACGAGUGGCGGACGGGUGAUUAAUGCUUGGGAAUCUUGCUGGUGGAUGGGUAUAACUACGGGUAACUGUUGCUAAUACCGCGUACCAUAGGCUGUGCCCAUGUGGGUUUAGGUAGUUGGUGGGGUAAAGGCUCACCAAGCCGACGAUCUCUAGCUGGUCUGAGAGUAUGACCAGCCACACUGGGACUGAGACACGGCCCAGACUCCUACGGGAGGCAGCAGUGGGGAAUAUUGCGCAAUGGGGGAAACCUGACGCAGCCAUGCCGCGUGAGUGAUGAAGGCCUUCGGGUUGUAAAGUACUUUUGGUAGGGAGGCGGUAACUGCAGAAGAAGCACCGGCUAACUACGUGCCAGCAGCCGCGGUAAUAC
rnacentral:rRNA from 1 species